CCUACGGGAGGCAGCAGUAGGGAAUCUUCCACAAUGGGCGAAAGCCUGAUGGAGCAACGCCGCGUGGGUGAAGAAGGUCUUCGGAUCGUAAAACCCUGUUGUUAGAGAAGAAAGUGCGUGAGAGUAACUGUUCACGUUUCGACGGUAUCUAACCAGAAAGCCACGGCUAACUACGUGCCAGCAGCCGCGGUAAUACGGAGGGGCCGAGCGUUAUCCGGUUUUAUUGGGUUUAAAGGGAGCGCAGGUGGUAUGUUAAGUCAGAUGUUAAAGUUUUCGGCUUAACCGGAAUAGUGCAAUGGAUACUGGGAGACUUGAGUGCAGGAGAGGUAGGUGGAACUCGAGGUGUAGCGGUGAAAUGCUUAGAUAUCUCGAAGAACUCCGAUUGCGAAGGCAGCUCACUGGACUGUAACUGACGCUGAUGCUCGAAAGCGUGGGUAUCAAACAGGAUUAGAUACCCCAGUAGUC
rnacentral:rRNA from 1 species